rnacentral:rRNA from 1 species
UCAGCCGCCGCGGUAACACCGGCAGCCCAAGUGGUAGUCAUGUUUAGUGGGUCUAAAGCGUCCGUAGCCGGCUAUGUAAGUUCCUUGGGAAAUUUGAUCGCUUAACGAUCAAGCUACCGGGAAUACUACCUGGCUUGGGACCGGGAGAGGUUAGAGGUACUUCAAGGGUAGGGGUGAAAUCCGUUAAUCCUUGGGGGACCACCGGUAGCGAAGGCGUCUGACCAGACCGGAUCCGACGGUGAGGGACGAAGGCUAGGGGAGCGAACCGGAUUAGAUACCCGGGUAGUCAUAGCUGUAAACGAUGCGGGCCAGGUGUUGGCAUUACUGCGAGUGAUGCCAGUGCCGAAGGGAAGCCGUUAAGCCCGCCAUCUGGGGAGUACGGUCGCAAGGCUGAAACUUAAAGGAAUUGGCGGGGGAGCACA